rnacentral:rRNA from 1 species
UACGUAGGGGGCAAGCGUUGUCCGGAAUCAUUGGGCGUAAAGAGCGUGUAGGCGGCCUGGUAAGUCCGCUGUGAAAGUCCAGGGCUCAACCCUGGAAUGCCGGUGGAAACUGUCAGGCUCGAGUCCGGAAGAGGCGAGUGGAAUUCCUGGUGUAGCGGUGAAAUGCGCAGAUAUCAAGAGGAACACCUGAGGUGAAGACGGGUUGCUGGGCUGACACUGACGCUGAAGCGCGAAAGCCAGGGGAGCAAACGGG